rfam:Salmo salar isolate Sally breed double haploid chromosome ssa10, whole genome shotgun sequence.
GCCGGUCCAAUUUGUAAGUCGCUCUGGAUAAGAGUGUCUGCUAAAUGACGUAAA